GCUUGGUUCCCGGGGCAGCCUUCUGGAGGGGUGAGCGGAGCUGGCUCUGCUGGCCAACAGGGCACGGCGCCCGGGAUGCGCAUUGAGUUCCUCUCGCGGGCUGCUCGGAGUCGAGGAUCUCUCCCGACUGCGGCCUCAGGGGACAUAGGUUCGAGCCCUGGUCCAGGAAGGUCUCAUAUGCUGCGGAGUAACUAAGCCCGUGCACCAAAACUACUGAACCCGUGAGCCACAACUACUGAAGCCCACAUGUCUAGAGCCCAUGCUCCGCAACAUGAGAAGCCACUGCAAUGAGAAGCCCUUGCACCGCAACAAUGAGUAGCCCCUGCUCACCACAACUAGAGAAAGCCUGUGCGCAGCAACAAAGACCCAAUGCAGCCAUAAAUAAAUAAAUUAAAUAAUUUUUUAAAAA